rnacentral:rRNA from 1 species
UGAGGAAUAUUGGUCAAUGGGCGUAAGCCUGAACCAGCCAAGUAGCGUGCAGGAGGACGGCCCUAUGGGUUGUAAACUGCUUUUAUGCGGGGAUAAAGUGAGGGACGUGUCCCUUUUUGCAGGUACCGCAUGAAUAAGGACCGGCUAAUUCCGUGCCAGCAGCCGCGGUAAUACGGAAGGUCCGGGCGUUAUCCGGAUUUAUUGGGUUUAAAGGGAGCGUAGGCCGGGGAUUAAGUGUGUUGUGAAAUGUAGGCGCCCAACGUCUGACUUGCAGCGCAUACUGGUUCCCUUGAGUGCGCGCAACGCCGGCGGAAUUCGUCGUGUAGCGGUGAAAUGCUUAGAUAUGACGAAGAACUCCGAUUGCGAAGGCAGCCGGCGGGAGCGCAACUGACGCUGAAGCUCGAAGGUGCGGGUAUCGAACAGGAUUAGAUACCCUGGUAGUCCGCACGGUAAACGAUGGAUGCCCGCUGUCGGCGCCUUGCGCCGGCGGCCAAGCGAAAGCGUUAAGCAUCCCACCUGGGGAGUACGCCGGCAACGGUG